UACGGGGGGGGUAAGCGUUGUUCGGAAUUACUGGGCGUAAAGGGCUCGUAGGCGGCCAACUAAGUCGGACGUGAAAUCCCUCAGCUUAACUGGGGAACUGCGUCCGAUACUGGAUGGCUUGGAUUUGGGAGAGGGAUGCGGAAUUCCAGGUGUAGCGGUGAAAUGCGUAGAUAUCUGGAGGAACACCGGUGGCGAAGGCGGCUUCCUGGACCGACACUGACGCUGAGGCGCGAAAGCUAGGGGAGCAAACGGG
rnacentral:rRNA from 1 species